CCACCGUCUUCUUCUUGAGCCGAUGGACGAUGCGCACUGUGCAGUAGAGCAGGAUGAUGAAGGGGAUGAGGAUUUGCGAGAAGAACACCGCCUACAGUCGAGAGGAACCAUCAGGAAAGACACAGAUUGGACUUCGGACUGUACAGCAGAAUGAAUGGACGCGCGCACACACUCUCCACCUUGUUGACAUUAUGGGAUGCAUCAUGUGACCAUUCCUGGGAUGACAUCAUCAAGGCGAUGACAUAUUCCAGGGCAGUGGGCGGAAGGAUGAAACCGCAACACACUGGACUGACACCAUGGCAGACCCAUACCAGGAAGUGAAACAAAAAGGUUUUUGGGCAAUGCCCUGCCUGGCACCAGCAAAGGAACCAUUAGCAGAUCACGGAGGGUCGAUCACCCUGCCUUGAGCAGCCUGAUUGGACGAGUGACUCGUGCUGCUCCCCGGCUGUGCUGUGCAACUACUGAACGCUGAUCGCAAAAAAGCCAAGGAGAAAAAAAAGCAAAGCAAAGGGUACUCCGCGUUGAUUGGUUGGAUGGUGAAACAGGUACCCCGCCUUGUUCUGACACUUUGGACUGCCAGUGAAAGUGGAGGGGGCGGGCCCUGCUGUAAUGAUUGACAGGUGAACAUACCGACGAUAGAGAAGAUGAGGAACGCCGGCCGCUCGUUGGGAGACAGUGAGCGUGUGGUCGUCCCGUCGUUUUGUUCCGGUGCUGACUUAUCAGGAGGGUUCCGUCCUACGCAUCACAAUAAACCUUCGAACAGCAGAAGCCUGGAAGCUUCUGGAAGCAGGCCUACGGCGCCGUGUUUGGUCUGCCUAAACUGGCCCUGAUGCAAGCGGACUGUUAUAUCAAUGCCUGUGAGUAUUGUUGUAUGCUGUGUCUGUAUGUGUUGCUGCUCUGUGUGUGGCAAGGUAGCAGUUGUUUGAAGCUUUAAAACUGCUGUGACAUUGAUGCUGAUCUGCAUAAGCCUGUGGAGAUGGCAUUUCACAAUAUUUGUGAGCAUUAAACUAGCAGAAUCCCUUUCCAGAUGAAAUGUUGUUGUUGUUUAAAUAUUAUUCCUUUUUGUUCUAUGCCCCUUAUCCUGACAUAAAAUACAUUCCCAAUUGAAAUGAACAGAAAUGCGACUCGUCCGUGCCAACCUAAAAAAAAAAAAACAACCAAAAUGUUUGGAAUGUGUUUUGAAUCAAACUUGCAGUCUAUGUUGUACUUUAAAAAAAAACAAUACCAUAACAAAUAAAUCAGAAAAUACAUGCGUUUCUGUCUAAUUGUGCUAUGCGAGACAUGGCCACCGGGUGGGACUAUAACAAGUUCUACCCAGCUAUUUUUAGUGACUCUGUAAUUUCUCGUAAUACCGUUUGUUGUUUUUUUUUGCGGAGGAUAAAGAAGAUAUGCCUGUGAGCAUUUUUAGAUUCUCUGUCCACAUCUCUAGGUUGCUCCCCGUUUGUGUUCAAAUUGCUGUUACUUGAAGCAUUAUAACAGCGCCAUACGGAUGCUAUAUGUUGGCCUGUCUAAUGCUUUUCCCUUUGUGUUAGCAUGAAGUUAGCGGACUUGAAGGGCAAGUUGUGUCGCGCCACUGUAUAAACAAAAAAGCUUUCACGGCCAAGUCUUCAAUGAAAGCUUGAAAUUUUCAAAGUUCUGACUCUUGUUUUCCUCAAAGUGACCUUUGUCUCAUUUCUCGAUAGUGUGGGAGAAAGAACAGGGUUCGUAUUACUUUUCUGACCGUCGUUCGUGAAAGGUGCCAAGUCAGCACAAACAGUCCAAGGAGGCGGUAACAGCGAGUCCUGGACAAACUCCAGUUACUGGCACGGUCAGCGUGUACGGGCCAGCCCGUGGAAAUGAUUCACGAGAAAUUUCACCAAGAGCCAAAAAGCAGCUUGAAAAGGGAAAAUAUUGGUACAUAUUACACCAAGGGUGGGAAAACUUUAGUGCUCAUUUCAUGCAGAAAAGUGAAAAGUCAUUUGAUGCGGCAACUCCAGGCUACUGGAGUGUGUCGGAUGGAAAGGUUUGGCCGCCCGUUUGACCGUGAGAGGCUACAACACAACUUUACCACCUCAUAUGUUCUUCUCUACACGUCUGAAGGAUGAACAAUACAAUUUAUGACGAGCCACUUUUAACCAAUGAACACCCGCCAGCCCAAAACCCAAGUCCACUCCGGGAUGCAUCUCAUCAAUCCAUACUGGGGAGAAAAGAAACGUAAUUAAUCAAUUUAGCGAUCACAAAUAAUCCAAAAAACACGUGUUUGUGUGAGAGACGCCGGGUGCCCACCAGCAGCGUGUGCGGCCAAUAGCCGGUGGUUCGGUUGGACACGCCGAGUGUGGAGAUGGCGUGGCGGACAUAAACCUGCGGCGUGGGCGCCAACCAGCCUUCGGUGGACGACGCCGGGCGCUGACUACUGGAGGCCACCUGGGUGUUAAACACCAUAUUUUUAUUUUCAUUCCAGUUAUAAAAUUAUAAUUAUUUGAAUUGAUUGUCAAUUUGCCAAUGAAAUACGGGCAAAUUUUGAUCUUUAAUUGCUAUGUUCCUUGAUGGUUUCCAAUAAAUUAAUUAGCCCGGUACUUAACAUAAUGCCUCAGAAAAAACAGAAUAAAUAAAUUUCAACCAAGAA